rnacentral:lncRNA from 1 species
GAAAAGAACAAUUAGAACUGGGGCAAAUUCAUGAAUUCUAAAAAUGUUGAAACCUCAGCAGCUCAAGUGUCCUAAGGAACCAAUUAGAAGGAGGCAAGCGACAGACCAAGCCAAAACACUUGGAGGAACUUGAUCAUGCCAUAGGCACAACGUGUGGCAAAUCAUACAAUUGUGAUGAGGGAGAUAAAAGGAAUACAUUCAUUUCAAAAAAAAGAGAGGUCGAACCUGGUGGGGGAAUGGAGAGUGAAGAGGGAAUCUGAGGGGCUAAAAGGAGAGAGAAAGAGAUGAUUGAACGACGAAGGGACAAUGACUAAGAGCUCUUUCGAUACUUGGGAAAGUCGACGAGAUGUGAGGAGAUUGUUUCAGUGAAUGUUUCUUCUCCCCUUU